GACGAACGCUGGCGGCGUGCCUAAUACAUGCAAGUCGAGCGAGACUCUUCGGAGUCUAGCGGCGGACGGGUGAGUAACACGUGGGCAACCUGCCUGUAAGACUGGGAUAACACCGGGAAACCGGUGCUAAUACCGGAUAAUCCUUUUCCUCACAUGAGGAAAAGCUGAAAGUCGGUUUCGGCUGACACUUACGGAUGGGCCCGCGGCGCAUUAGCUAGUUGGUGAGGUAACGGCGCACCAAGGCGACGAUGCGUAGCCGACCUGAGGGGGUGGUCGGCCACACUGGGACUGAGAGACGGCCCAGACGCCUACGGGAGGCAGCAGUAGGGAAUCUUCCACAAUGGACGAAAGUCUGAUGGAGCAACGCCGCGUGAGCGAUGAAGGCCUUCGGGUCGUAAAGCUCUGUUGUUAGGGAAGAACAAGUACCGGAGUAACUGCCGGUACCUUGACGGUACCUAACCAGAAAGCCACGGCUAACUACGUGCCAGCAGCCGCCGUAAUAC
rnacentral:rRNA from 1 species